UUAUCUUCCAUCUUUUAAGUCUGUAGCCAUUUCUUAAUUUACCACCACAUUGACAUUCCAAGUGUUGUUGUAAGUAGAUGAUUAAAACAACCGCAACAAAUAGGCUUCAAGGUAGUGGUGUCAACUACCAAAUUGCUCUUCUGUCUUUUCAGAUUAAUAUAUAAAAAGUAGUGUUGCUAAUUACUUUUUUUAAAAAAGAAAUUGUGUCAUCGUAAGCAUGAUGUCUACAUGAUAAACCAGAAGCAUCACUUUCUUUCUCUGCAGUGCCAAUGUUUAUUGCUAAAAGUGUUAGUCACUCAGUCAUGUCCAGUUCUGUGACCCCAUGGACUGUAGCUCGCCAGGCUCCUCUGUCCCUGGAAUUCUCCAGGUAAGAAUACUGGAGUGGGUUGUUGUGCCCUUCUCCAGGGGAUCUUCCAGUCCCAGGGAUCGAACCCAGGUCUUCCACAUUGCAGGCAGAUUCUUUACCAUCUGAGCUACCAGGGAAGCCUUAUUGCUAAAACCCCUGGGAAAAAACAUUCAGGCAAAAGAAAUACAGAUCGUUUUAAGCUCUAUUGUGUUCAUUUGUAGGUUUGUCUUUAUUUUCUUAAAACAUAAUACACAAAUACUUCAAACCUUUGAGGAAUAAGUCUCCAGAUUUUGUUUUUAUUUAUUCUUCAUUCUUGAGUUUGUGCUGUAGUAUCUGUGAAAGGAAUAAAACAUAAUUUAAAUAUAUUUUUCUUAAUUUAAUAUCUUACUUGAAGAAUUCUACUUCUGGGGUCAUGUUACAAUAUUCAUCUCUCUUUCUCUCUCUUCCUUGUUUUUCUCUUUUUUAUGAAUAUUUAUUGGAAAGAGAUGAGCAAGGAUUAAAAUGAAAAGUCACAAUGAAAUUCUGCUUUAUUUAUUUACCUGUUUUGUUAAGGCAUGAGAGAAGACCCUCAAGUAGAUCAACUAAACAGUCGAUGGUGUUUGCCUGGCAUCCGCGUGGUCCCUGGCCUAGAGAUGGCUCUUGACGGGUUGGCCUGUGCUUCCUACACAUACACUCUGAGCAUCAAGAGAUGGGACUUUUGCUCCCUCCAUUGAAUUCUGAGAUGACUUUGACUAAGAGGAUGCGGAACAUGUGAUGUUCCAAGGCUCGUGGGUCCAGACCAGAGUGUGAGAACUUUCAGUUCCUCCAUCUUAAAUCCUUGAGCCAGUACAUGUGAAACCUUAAUUAUCCUGUCCGCAGGCAUGAGUGCUUGUGUUUAUGUGAGAGAGAGAGAGACAGAGAGAAAGAACAUGAGGGAGAACCAGGAGAAUAAGACAUCAGAAAAAGAAAAAACAAAAACAAAAAUCAGAAGCAUCACAGCCAAGAGGAGUCUAAGGAGAUGUGACAACUAAAU
rnacentral:lncRNA from 1 species